AUACGGAGGAUGCGAGCGUUAUCCGGAUUUAUUGGGUUUAAAGGGUGCGUAGGCGGGAUUAUAAGUCAGCGGUGAAAGUUUGAGGCUCAACCUUAAAAUUGCCGUUGAAACUGUUUUUCUUGAGUAUAUUUGAAGUAGGCGGAAUUCGUGGUGUAGCGGUGAAAUGCAUAGAUAUCACGAAGAACUCCAAUUGCGAAGGCAGCUUACUAAGCUACAACUGACACUGAAGCACGAAAGCGUGGGGAUC
rnacentral:rRNA from 1 species